rnacentral:rRNA from 1 species
GACGAACGCUGGCGGCGUGCUUAACACAUGCAAGUCGAACGUGAUUUUUGUGUAAAUUCUUUCGGGAAUGGAAAUGAAAUGAAAGUGGCGAACGGGUGAGUAACACGUGAGCAACCUACCUUACACAGGGGGAUAGCCGUUGGAAACGACGAUUAAUACCGCAUGAGACCACAGAAUCGCAUGAUAUAGGGGUCAAAGAUUUAUCGGUGUAAGAAGGGCUCGCGUCUGAUUAGCUCGUUGGAAGGGUAAAGGCAUACCAAGGCGACGAUCAGUAGCCGGUCUGGGAGCAUGACCCGCCACAUUGGAGCUGCGACACGGUCCAAACUCCUACGCGAAGCAGCAGUGGAGAAUAUUGCACAAUGGGGGGAACCCUGAUGCAGCGACGCCGCGUGAGCGAAGAAGGUUGUCGAAUCGUAAAGCUCUGUCCUAUGAGAAGAUAAUGACGGUAUCAUAGGAGGAAGCCCCGGCUAAAUACGUG